UUGUUAUUGUUGUUGUUAUUGUUGUUGUUAUUGUUAUUGAUGUUGUUGUUGUUGUUACUAUUUUUGUUGCUGUUGUUGUUAAAGAUGUUAUUUUUGUUUUUUUGUUGUUGGUGGUGUUGGUGUUGGUGUUGGUGUAGUUGUUAUUAUUGUUGUUGUUGUUAUUGUUUUUUUGUUGUUAUUGAAGUUGUUGUUGUUGUUGUUGAUGCUUUUGUUGUUGUUCUUUUUGUUGUUGUUGUUGUUGUUG
rnacentral:lncRNA from 1 species